GCGGUAAUACGAAGGGGGCUAGCGUUGUUCGGAAUUACUGGGCGUAAAGCGCACGUAGGCGGACAUUUAAGUCAGGGGUGAAAUCCCAGAGCUCAACUCUGGAACUGCCUUUGAUACUGGGUGUCUUGAGUAUGGAAGAGGUAAGUGGAAUUCCGAGUGUAGAGGUGAAAUUCGUAGAUAUUCGGAGGAACACCAGUGGCGAAGGCGGCUUACUGGGCCUGUACUGACGCUGAGACACGAAAGCGUGGGGAGCAAACA
rnacentral:rRNA from 1 species